rnacentral:tRNA from 1 species
AGUAAAGUCAGCUAAACUAAGCUCUUGGGCCCAUACCCCGAACAUGUUGGUUCGAUUCCUUCCUUUGCUA